rnacentral:rRNA from 1 species
GUCUUUUAGAAUAUAAUUUAAAGUCUAACCUGCCCACUGAAUUUAUUUGAAGGGCCGCGGUAUUUUGACUGUGCAAAGGUAGCAUAAUCAUUAGUCUUUUAAUUGGAGGCUUGUAUGAAUGGUUGGAUGAAACAUUAACUGUCUCAAUUUAAUAAAAAUAGAAUUUAAUUUUUAAGUUAAAAAGCUUAAAUGUAAUUAGAGGACGAGAAGACCCUAUAGAUCUUUAUAAUUAAUUAUUUAUUAUUAAUUUAGUAAAUUAAUUUUUAUUAAUUGAUUAAUUAUUUUAUUGGGGUGAUAAAUAAAUUUAGUAAACUUUAUUUUAUAAAAACAUUUAUUUAUGAAUAUUUGAUCCAUUAUUAAUGAUUAAAAGAUUAAGUUACCUUAGGGAUAACAGCGUAAUUUUUUUAGAGAGUUCUAAUCGAUAAAAAAGUUUGCGACCUCGAUGUUGAAUUAAAGGUUAAUUUUAGGUGCAGAAGUUUAAAGUUUUGGUCUGUUCGACCAUUAAAUC